rnacentral:rRNA from 1 species
GGACCCGCACAAGUGGUGGAGCAUGUUGUUUAAUUCGACAGUACACGCAAAACCUUACCAGGGUUUGACAUGUUGAGCAAAGUUAUAGAAAUAUAAUGGAGGUUAACUCAAACACAGGUGGUGCAUGGUUGUCGUCAGCUCGUGUCGUGAGAUGUUGGGUUAAGUCCCGCAACGAGCGCAACCCUUUUCGUUAGUUAAUUUAUCUAGCGAUACUGCUUACGCAAGUAAGAGGAAGGUGGGGAUGACGUCAAAUCAUCAUGCCCUUUAUACCCUGGGCUACAAACGUGCUACAAUGGUGAAUACAAACCGUUGCCAAACAGUAAUGUGGAGCUAAUCGGAAAAAGUUCAUCUCAGUUCAGAUUGAGGGCUGCAAUUUGUCCUCAUGAAGCUGGAAUCACUAGUAAUCGCGAAUCAGACAUGUCG